CUGGCUCAGGAUGAACGCGUGGCGGCGUGCUUAACACAUGCAAGUCGAACGGAGUUAAGAAGGAAGCUUGCUUCAUUUAAACUUAGUGGCGGACGGGUGAGUAACGCGUGAGGAACCUGCCCUUCAGUGGGGAACAACAACUAGAAAUGGUUGCUAAUACCGCAUAACGUCGGAGAGCCGCAUGACUUUCCGACCAAAGGAUUUAUUCGCUGAAGGAUGGCCUCGCGUCCGAUUAGAUAGUUGGUGAGGUAACGGCCCCACCAAGUCUACGAUCGGUAGCCGAACUGAGAGGUUGAUCGGCCACAUUGGGACUGAGACACGGCCCAGACUCCUACGGGAGGCAGCAGUGGGGAAUAUUGGGCAAUGGGCGAAAAAGCCUGACCCAGCAACGCCGCGUGAAGGAUGACGGUCUUCGGAUUGUAAACUUCUUUAAUUGGGGAAGAACAAAAUGACCUACCCAAAGAAUAAGUCACGGCUAACUACGUGCCAGCCGCAGC
rnacentral:rRNA from 1 species